rnacentral:rRNA from 1 species
UCGGGAAUUUUGGGCAAUGGGCGAAAGCCUGACCCAGCAACGCCGCGUGAAGGAUGAAGUAUUUCGGUAUGUAAACUUCGAAAGAAUAGGAAGAAUAAAUGACGGUACUAUUUAUAAGGUCCGGCUAACUACGUGCCAGCAGCCGCGGUAAUACGUAGGGACCAAGCGUUGUUCGGAUUUACUGGGCGUAAAGGGCGCGUAGGCGGCAAUUCAAGUCAUCUGUGAAAUCUCCGGGCUUAACUCGGAACGGUCAGAUGAUACUGCUUUGCUAGAGUGCAGAAGGGGCAAUCGGAAUUCUUGGUGUAGCGGUGAAAUGCGUAGAUAUCAAGAGGAACACCUGAGGUGAAGACGGGUUGCUGGGCUGACACUGACGCUGAGGCGCGAAAGCGUGGGGAGCAAACAGGAUUAGAUACCCCCGUAGUCCCUGAGCGGGCUGGCAAGGCGCAU